rnacentral:lncRNA from 1 species
GGGUAUUCUAUGAUCAUUUUGGUCAAGGGGAUGAAUUAUAUGAAAACUAUAUCCACAUGGGUUCUAAGGAUGUUGUUCUACAUAUUCGACCUAUCCGGUCGUCGGGUACCAUUGCUAGAUGGUCACUUCGAUUGGUACAGAAAUUUAUUUUUAUGCUAUCAGCUUAGGUUCAGAUCUAUGAGGUCACACAUAUUAGAGUUCAUGAUCCGAUCGGAUGGUUGAUCAACGAUUAAGAAUCGUUCUAGGGUUAAAUGAUCAAUACGAUUGACAUUUAACCCAGUGCAAGUGUUGCAGGAGAAUUGAUUAGCAAUUUGAUUGCUAAUUGGCUUAAUUUGAUUAAGCCAAUGAGCUGAGAUUAAGUCUAAUUAAAUAUAAUUUAAUUAGAUUUGGUUUGGGCUUGAUUGG